CAACCCUCGACACCAGUCGGUUCUGAACCAGAGCGGGUGUGUGAAAACCCCGCGCUGGUUUUAAAGUUGUAAGCUCCGCUGGCCGCUCCGACCCGACCAAAACAUAGUAAGAAACAUACUUGUUGAAGGCCGAGCUGGAAACGCGGUACGGCCUGAACAAAACCUACCACACUUCUCAG
rnacentral:misc_RNA from 1 species